rnacentral:rRNA from 1 species
UACAGAGGGUGCAAGCGUUGCUCGGAAUCAUUGGGCGUAAAGGGUAGGUAGGUGGUCUCAUUUGUCUGGGGUGAAAGCCCAGGGCUUAACCCUGGAAGUGCCCCGGAAACGGUGAGACUAGAGUCUUGGAGAGGGUCGUGGAAUUCCCGGUGUAGCGGUGAAAUGCGUAGAGAUCGGGAGGAACACCAGAGGCGAAGGCGGCGACCUGGACAAGUACUGACACUCAACUACGAAAGCGUGGGGAGCAAACAGG